rnacentral:rRNA from 1 species
AUUGAACGCUGGCGGCAUGCCUUACACAUGCAAGUCGAACGGCAGCACGGGAGCAAUCCUGGUGGCGAGUGGCGAACGGGUGAGUAAUAUAUCGGAACGUGCCCAGUCGUGGGGAUAACGUAGCGAAAGCUACGCUAAUACCGCAUACGAUCUAUGGAUGAAAGCGGGGGAUCGCAAGACCUCGCGCGAUUGGAGCGGCCGAUAUCAGAUUAGGUAGUUGGUGAGGUAAAGGCUCACCAAGCCGACGAUCUGUAGCUGGUCUGAGAGGACGACCAGCCACACUGGGACUGAGACACGGCCCAGACUCCUACGGGAGGCAGCAGUGGGGAAUUUUGGACAAUGGGCGCAAGCCUGAUCCAGCAAUGCCGCGUGCAGGAUGAAGGCCUCGGUGUAAC